GCCGGACCACUGUAACGCAAAUGCACCAGUCUCCAACGUUUGGACACGUUACAAGAAACUGCAGGGGCCCGCUUUCUCCGGUGAACCAGUGCAGGAAGUGUUUGAACUCUGGUAUCACUUACCUUCGUAAUCUAGUUGGUGCGGAGACUAAUAACGUUACUCUGAGUACUUGUCGUGAUGCGACUUACGCAACAUUAGCAAGCCGUAUGGACGAUGCUUCGGCUCUUGAACUACUUGGUUGUUUCUUUCAAGUGACAGAGCUUAGUGUUGUCCCUUCAGGUUAGACGGUUACUCCUUCCGGUUUACUCCCUCGGUUCCAAGAUAUAAGAUGUUUUGAUAUUUUUCAAGUACUCUAACUUUAUUGAAAAUUGGUUAACCCAAUAACAUUUUACUAAAUUAUUUAUGAUUGGUUAAUUUAUGUUUAAUUUAUAUAAUUUAAUAAUUUUAUUUCCUACAAGGUAAGUUUCUUAAUCUUUGUGCAUUUAAGCAAAACAUCUUAUAUUAUGGAACAGAUUAAGUAUUUUUUAUUAGUUGAAAGAUAGUUAGGUGUAUACUUAAUGACAUUUUUAUUUAGAAAAUAUAGAAAAUUAAAUAUUUCUCUUAAUUUCUGUGCACAAAUCUAAAACUAAAUUAAAAAUGAAACACAGAAAGUAUAAUUUUCUUACCAUCAUCACAUUCAGGUUUGUAUCUUUUUAUGAUUUGGUUCGUAUGUGGACAGUCUCAUUUCCACCUAUGGAGAGUCCAGGACCGUCUCCAAGCGUGAUUGAUGCUGAUGUCCCAAGCAAGAGUGAUUCUCCAAUGACUUCUUCAAGUGAAAGCAACAAUCCAUAUCACUUAACAUUGCUUCCAACCAUUGGGAUUGUUGUUACGGCUGUUUCUCUUACGAUGCUCGUGGUUCUGGUGAUUCUUAUCCGUAGAAAGAACCGGGAACUCGAUGAAUCUGAGAGUUUGGAUAGAAAAUCAGCAAAAACACGUCCUUCUCCCCGGCCUGUAUUCAAGAUUCAUCAAGGUGAGAAAAACAACAUGUGUACUUUCAUUACAUUAAAUCAUAUGAAUGAUAAAUUGAUAGACUAGAAAGGACCCUGACCAUUGUGUCAGAAGUCCCCAUUUGGAAUGACUGAUAGGACGAAACUAAUAUUACAUGAUGUGGUUUCGUUUUUUUCUGUAGAUGAUUCUUCUCCUUUCCAAAAGUUCAGCUACAAGGAAAUGACAACUGCAACAAAAGAGUUCAACACAGUGAUUGGUCAUGGAGGUUUUGGGACUGUUUACAAAGCCGAGUUCAGCGAUGGAUUGGUUGCAGCUGUAAAGAGAAUGAACAAAGCCUCUGAACAAUCUAAACAAGAUUUCUGCAGAGAGAUAGAGCUUUUGGCUAAGCUCCAUCACCGUAACCUCGUUGACUUGAAAGGCUUUUGCAUUGAAAAGAAAGAAAGGUGAAGAAACACACAUUGUUUUCUCUCCCUUCUGCAUUUAUCUAAAACGUAAAAAAGUUUAAAAAAGUAUGCUCAUCUUCGUUUUUUUUGUCCUACAAUCUUUCAGGUUCCUCAUCUAUGAGUACAUGGAAAAUGGGAGCUUAAAAGAUCAUCUACAUUGUAUGUAUAUGAUUCUUCUAUGUUAAGCAUAAAAGAUUCGUGGUGUUGUAACUUCUCUUAUUUUCUCUCUCUCCAAUGCAGCUACAGAGAAGCCUCCACUUAGUUGGGAAACAAGAAUGAAAAUAGCUAUUGAUGUGGCUAAUGCUUUGGUACGCAUUCCAUAGCCUUUCCCACAUACACUUCCUCUAGUAAACUGAUAUACCCUUUUAAGUUUAAUUAUGAGCCUCUUACAGUUUUUGAUUCUUGGCUGCAACUAUGUUCUCUCAUCCAGGAAUAUCUUCAUUUCUACUGUGAUCCACCUCUCUGCCACAGAGACAUUAAAUCAAGCAAUAUACUACUGGAUGAUAAAUUUGUAGCUAAAGUAUGCACCCUCACUCAUUAUCUAUGUUAUAGAAACCAUUCAACUUGUUUUAAAUAAUGUUUUCUUGGUGCAGCUUUCAGAUUUUGGCCUUGCACAUUCGUCUAGAGAUGGAUCUGUUUGUUUUGAGCCUGUGAAUACUGAUAUUCAUGGAACUCCAGGUUAAGAAGAGAGAUACAUAACAUAACAAAACAACAUGACUACUUCUGAUGGAAACUGAAUUUUAAUUUUUCAGGUUAUGUAGAUCCAGAGUAUGUGGUGACACAAGAGCUGACAGAGAAGAGUGAUGUGUACAGCUACGGAGUUGUGUUGCUGGAGAUUAUAACGGGAAGAAGAGCUGUUGAUGAAGGUAGGAACCUUGUUGAAACGUCUCAGCGGUUUCUAGUGACUAAAUCAAGACACAAGGAUCUAGUAGACCCGAGGAUAAAAGACUCCAUUGACGAUGAUGAUAAUGGAGAGAGACAGCUUGAAGCUGUUGUGACGGUUGUGAGAAUGUGUACUGAGAAAGAAGGCCGGUCUAGGCCAUCGAUUAAGCAAGUGUUGAGGAUGCUGUGUGAAAGCUAUGAUCCGUUGCAUAGCGGAUUUGCUAAAGCUGUUGAUGAAGAGGUGGGACAAGAUACUAUGCAGAGAACCGUUUUGAGGUUUCAAAGAAGCAAUAAUAACCGAUUCAUUGGUGGUUCAUCAUCGUCCAAGUCGCUUUGCAGCCAGAGUGUACCUCACUCUCCAGUAAAUGGACUCUCUUUCUGAGUUAAAUCUUUAAGUUUCACAUAUAAAUAUAACAUUUAUGAAUUCAUAUUGAAAGCUCUCGCAUACUCUGCACUCUUUUAAGUAGAUUCAGUUCAAAAGAUUUCUACAUUGUCUGCAUCUCUCCUGUACUAGUAGAAACUAUCUUCUAUUACAUUUUUUUUCUUGUCUUCCAAGUCCCAAGUCCGAGGGAGUUAAAGCCAGAGUCUUCCUUUUGAUGGGUGUUGUACUACAUUACCAGGCUCUUCUUGCUUGUGUUUUGUCUUCUUACCAUGGACCAGUUAGGGUUCUUCUCAAGCAUUGCGUUUUGGCCAGCCAUGGACGCUGCUUAGACGGUUCCUUUAGCAGUAAAUUCAACAAGCCGUAUCAGUAAACUUAUGAUCAAAAAGACAGUAGAGCACAUUCAGACAGACAAAAGUAUUGUUUUAGUGUUUAGUGAUUUUGAUUUAGAGUUUAAGAUUUAUCCUAGAGUUUAAAAUUUAUACGAGAAUUUAGGGUUUACCCAUGGGUUUAGAGUUUAGGAUUUAGGGUUUAGGGAUUAGGAUUUAGGGUUUAAUAUUUUGCUGACGACGUUAUAAUAUUUUUUUUUUGUAAUUACUACUAUUUUUUAUUUAUUUCUUUUUUUGUAAUUACUACUAUUUUUUAUUUAUUUCUUUUUACCUUUUAAUUUAAAAAAAAAUAUAAUUUGACAAUAUUUUUUUUUUUAAAAAAAUAUCAAAUAUUAAAUAACAAAAUCAUAUUGGUCGGUGAACCUAGAGAAUAACUCUUACCAUGCGAGUUCCCAUUUCAAACUUCUGUUAAUCCUACUAAAUACGCACUAAUGUUGGUUUGAACCAAUCAAAGAAAACUUCACAUGAGAGAAACUAAUCUUAUAACAUAAUUUGUCAGAACAUAAAAGAAAGUGAGGAUGUUUUAUUCAUUUCAUAUUGGAUGAGGACGAGAUGAAAUGAUAAGUUAGGGACUUCUUUAAAAACAUUUCGUCGUUUAUCAUCACGAAUUGAAUAAGAGAGUUGUGAUUCUUUGUCUCUUUCCUUGUCUAGUGAGAGAGAGUAUACAGACCCUCGAAUGCCAUAUCACAGGACCUUCUAUUAACCCUUUUUAUAAUCUCUCUCUUUUCUCUCUCUCUCUCUCUCUCUCUCUCUCUGGUUUGGUUUUGGCUAUGGUGGUGAAUAGUCAAGCUUUCUUGUUAGCAUUAAUUGCAUUACUUGGAACCCAACUGUCUUCACUAAUGGCUGCAGGUUUGUCUUUCCAAUUUUUCCUCUGUUUUGCUUCUCUCAAAAAGCUUAUUUUUCUAAUUUUGUCCUCUUCUAAAAUCAAAAGAUAAUAUGGUGGUCCUUUUCAUCAAAAUCAGAUUUUGAGCUUCUGGGUUUUCAAAAUUUUGUUGCUUUCUUGUACUAGAGUUUGAAUUUUGAUGAGUUGCUUACAUGCAAAUACUCUGUUUUGGAUUGAAAACAGAUCUUGAAAAAUAAAUAAAAUUUUAAGUUUUUUUUUUUGUAAAAGAAUAAAAUUUUAAAUUUCCAUGAGUAAAAUCAGUUAUAUAAACUUUAAUUUUGUUUGAACAAAAAAAAAACUUUAAUUUUGUUUGUGACCAAAAAAAGAAAAAAACUUUAAUUUUGUUGAAGCAGUGAUUAAAGCUUGAAACUUUUACAUUAUCUUUCUAGAUUUUGAGGCAAAUCUCUGUUCUUGCUUCUCUGUUUCAGACACUAAGGUUUUACUGCUUUGUUGUCUGUGUGACUGUGUGUCUGCAGAUUGUCCAUUAGAUUUCACUUCAUCAAACUUCACUCUAGUAGCUUCUGUCUGCUCCAACAUAACCAACAGAGGCAAAUGCUGCCGCUACAUGAACGCUUUCGUUGCUAUAUCCGUGGCUCGUUACGCCAACAUAUCAAACAAUCUCGGAGUCACAUCGGAUCUAUCCGAAACCUGCGUUGCCUCCAUCUCCAAAACAAUGGAGCUCUAUGGAGUCCCUAGAAACGCGACUAGCUUCUGCGGGUUAGGAACCAAGAUCCUGGUCACGUACAGCUGCGAAGGCCGGACCACUGUAACGCAAAUGCACCAGUCUCCAACGUUUGGACACGUUACAAGAAACUGCAGGGGCCCGCUUUCUCCGGUGAACCAGUGCAGGAAGUGUUUGAACUCUGGUAUCACUUACCUUCGUAAUCUAGUUGGUGCGGAGACUAAUAACGUUACUCUGAGUACUUGUCGUGAUGCGACUUACGCAACAUUAGCAAGCCGUAUGGACGAUGCUUCGGCUCUU
rnacentral:lncRNA from 1 species